CGAGAGGUCGCCAUUGAAGCCCCGGCGUUGAACAGCUGCAGCUCGUAUCAAGUCCGUAUUUUAUAUUUUAAACUGCUAGCUACACACCUAUGCUUAAAUCCAAACGGACUAAACCAAGUGGAAACGCUUUGGUAGAUGCCACGUGCAAAGUCAUGCCACCAUCAAUGGGAAUGGCACAUGGGACACGUGGCUUUCAACUCCAGCGAGGUGGCGGCACGGAUCUCUGCAUGUCUGACUGACAUCUCCCAGUGGAUGUCCGCCCAUCACCUGAAGAUCAACCCCGACAAGACUGAACUACUUCUCUUCCCUGGAAAAAACUCGCCCACUCAGGACCUGACUGUUAACUUUGGCGAACACCGUUAACAUCAGGAGAAUACGACCCCUUCUCACUCAGAUGGCGGCGCAGCACACGGCACAGGUUGGCGUCACAAUCAUGGCAAAGUUGACUGGACCACAGCGGAAAAUUAUCCUUCCAGAGAAGAAGUUAUUUACUUCUACAAUGAAUGGAAAAGUUACAACUUCCAGAUGACAGCUCUCCGCUCAUCCUUCUGGGCAACUUGAACAUCCGACAGAACUUAUGUGACCUACUGCGUUUUAUUUUCUCCUUUAGCUGUCAUUUAAGUAUUAAAAUUCGCUGUAUUUUUGCAAGAGAGGCACCAAUCCUAUUUGAGUGACGUUUCGAUUGUGAAAUUGUAUUGGACCAUAUAGGUCAUCUGCAGAGCGUUGGCCCCUGGCGCAGUAAACCAGGGUUUGAUUCUUGGCAUGCACAAGACUCCUCAUGUGACUUAAAAUGAAUCCAGAAUGCAAUAUUUGUUCAGUAUGCCAGGGCAGUGAUUUAUUUAGUCAUGUUUGGUCAUGUUUUGGUUUUUUUACAUGACAAUAUGGUUUGGUACAUGCUGAGUUAAUGAAUAUACAUUCUAAAGUGCAAUGUCCAUAUGUGAAUAAGAGUUGUAUACGUUUAUCAUAGUCAACAUGGUGUGGAAAUAUCCCUUAUGUAGUUGGUCAAUGGGAACUAUAGUAGGCCGUAAUAACAGCUAAGGUAAUUACAGGUGGAUAUUUCUGGGAAUUAACCUUAAAUGAGACUGCAUUUAUGAUAUCUAAGAUAUACAGGACAAGAAAAAUGCACUGGAUGUGUAUAUGUGUUGAAUCAAUUAUACAGACGCAAACUGGAGAACGAGACAAGUGUUGCUGUGAUACUUAUUGUGGUCAUCGUGCCCGAGACCCGUAACAAUUACUCCGCAGGUCUUUUGCAGCGGGGCAACAGCCCGGCGUCGGUGGAUUCCGUUCGCGAGGCCGCAGAUUCAGGUUUGAAUGGCAGCCCCGAGAGUGAUUUGUUUAGUCUCUUUAGUCUUUUUUGACCCGCGAGCCCGGCCGACCGCCGCCCCACCCCAACGUGCGAGAAUAGGCGAAGGCCCGUUCAUCGCUGCUUGCAGCUUUAAUUUGGUUUGUUACUCAAAAUCGAUUGAUUCAUGUGGGAAUGUGACUGCAUGCAUAAAGCUUUGUUUUAGAGUGUCAGCGUGCGUUUCUGUUUGUAGUCACGACUCGAUGAACAACAUUUGAUUCAUGUCUUUUCAGAAUUUGAUGAGAUGUGUGUGUGUGUGAGCAAAAGUGUGUGUUUUCUGUUUGUUCUCUUAACAGAUUAAAUGUUGCCCAUGAAAGCAAGAGUGUGUGUGUGUGUGUGUGUGUCAGCAACAGACACGGCUAAAUGGAGAGAUGAAGGCGGUGUGUAGGUGAGUGUGUGUUGGAAGUGUAAAUAUGAGUCGAGGAGCCGAGAGGCCGCGGGGGAAAUGUCCCAAACUUCUCGUUGGGAAAACUCAUACCGAGCAGCCAUGUAAUAUUUUCUGUUUGUUCUUUACAUUUUUUUUGUCCACUUUAGAAAAUAAAAUGAAUAUUCCUCCGGGAU